rnacentral:rRNA from 1 species
CCUACGGGUGGCAGCAGUGAGGAAUAUUGGUCAAUGGCCGGAAGGCUGAACCAGCCAUGCCGCGUGAAGGUCAGUGCCCUAUGGGCGUUAAACUUCUUUUGUGCGGGAGCAAUAAUGGUCACGUGUGGCCAGACGAGAGUACCGUACGAAAAAGCAUCGGCUAACUCCGUGCCAGCAGCCGCGGUAAUACGGAGGAUGCGAGCGUUAUCCGGAUUUAUUUGGUUUAAAGGGUGCGCAGGCGGGAGAUCAAGUCAGCGGUAAAAUGUCGGGGCUCAACCCCGGCCGGCCGUUGAAACUGGUUUUCUAGAGUUGGAGAGAAGUAUGCGGAAUUCGUGGUGUAGCGGUGAAAUGCAUAGAUAUCACGAAGAACUCCGAUUGCGAAGGCAGCUUACUAAACUGCCACUGACAUUGAUGCUCGAAAGUGUGGGUAUCAAACAGGAUUAGAUACCCCAGUAGUC